CUUCAGCUGGUAGUCCUCGUGGUGCAGGUCGUCGUGGCUCAUCCCCUUGGUUUCUCUGUCGCCUUGUCGAUUCGGCCGUUCUAUCGUUCAGUGAAGAAGGACCUGGAAAAGCGGCAGCAUUUCGGAAAGAAGAGAUGGUGAGUAUCAUUCUGAUAUAAAACUGAAGAGAACAUAAGCUAUACUGGAAUAAUGAAGUUCUCACCUUUUCAGGGAAUUUAACUUCCUAUAUAUUCUGCAAGUAUGCUUGUUGGGCAACUUGGGUUGUUGAGAUGAAGCUGAACCCUUAAGUCGAUAGCUAUCGAGAAGUGCUUCCGCAAGGUGCUUUUUGAAGAUUGUCGCUAUCCAUGAAGGCAUAAGUAUCAACUGAAAACAUCACCAAGACACCACCAACAAGCUCCCUCUGCCAUCUCCUUUUGGCCUGUUUUUGCUUCCUACAAGCCGCAAUGCAUCGUCUGAACCCGGAAGCCGUACUCCAAAGCAAAGCAGUUGUUCGCGGAAGAGACUCAGGAGGAAGAAAAGAAUAUGAACUGCUCUUCGCCUUCUUUCUCUCUUUGGCUUCCUGGGAGAGCUUUGUGAGCUAUAAUUUACUUUACGAUCUUAAGGCUUCUUGGUUAUUUCACAAGAUGAGUGUCUCUUAAAGGAUUUGAUGGAAAGGGGAAAAGGGGAUUGAAGGAAUUGAUUCCUGACUUGUCUGCUGGACUUCCAGGUUGUUCUUUUUUGAGGGGAAGGAAAUUCCUGGUGAGGUGUUGAGAAAAAGGAAUAUCUGGGUCGAUUUUUGAAGUUGAAUAUUAAGUGGAACCAUCCAUGUCUCUAAGAUUUGUAAACUCUCACUUAGAUUUAUUGAAUGUGAUAUCACAUAUUUUCUUAUAUAGAACUCUACUGUCAUGGUUUAUUUAUUAUUUAUUUAUUA
rnacentral:lncRNA from 1 species